CAGAAUGAGAAGAAAGCAGGGAAAUGGGACUCUAGCUGUUAGAAAGCUCACUCUGGGAACCUAGUCGCUGUGUUGUUAAGAUGCAUGGAGAGGCCAUGUAUGGGUACUUCAAUUGACAGCCCAAGGUGAGCUUCCAGCUGACAGCCAGCACCAACUGCCAGCCAGCACCAACUGCCAGCCAUGUGAGUGGGCCAUUUUGGCAUCAAGCAGUAGUAGAGGCUUUGGAUGACUGCAGCUCCUGCCAACAUCUGACUGCAACCUCCUGAGCCACCCCAAGUGAGAACUAUCCAGUUGGGCCUGGCCAACCUGCAGGACUGUAAGAGCUAAUAAAACAUUACUGUCUCAAGCCA
rnacentral:lncRNA from 1 species